CCUACGGGAGGCAGCAGUCGAGAAUCAUUCACAAUGGGGGAAACCCUGAUGGUGCGACGCCGCGUGGGGGAAUGAAGGUCUUCGGAUUGUAAACCCCUGUCAUGUGGGAGCAAAUUAACAAGAUAGUACCACAAGAGGAAGAGACGGCUAACUCUGUGCCAGCAGCCGCGGUAAUACAGAGGUCUCAAGCGUUGUUCGGAAUCACUGGGCGUAAGGCGUGCGUAGGCUGUUUCGUAAGUCGGGUGUGAAAGGCGCGGGCUCAACCCGCGGACGGAACAUGAUACUGCGAGACUAGAGUAAUGGAGGGGGAAGCGGAAUUCUCGGUGUAGCAGUGAAAUGCGUAGAUAUCGAGAGGAACACUCGUGGCGAAGGCGGGUUCCUGGACAUUAACUGACGCUGAGGCACGAAGGCCAGGGGAGCGAAAGGGAUUAGAUACCCUGGUAGUC
rnacentral:rRNA from 1 species